AAAUAAUCAGUUUGUUUCCAGGGUGAUCGUUUCUGUUUUUGCUCAUGGGGUGUGUGUGUUUAUUGACUUAACGCCAUCUGUGGCAUUCAGUGUAUUGUGUAGUUUUGUGUACAUAUAAAUCUAGAAUAGCAAGUCAGGUAUUGAGUGCUAGAUCUAUCUAUCAUCUGAUUCCUGUCUCUUCUGGAUACUUCCUUGUUCCAGCAAAAGAUCUUACAGCAAUCCCAAUGGUGGAUGAAGUGACUAUACAGUUCAGAGCCAUUCUUUAAAGGACCGCCGCUAUAGGAACUCAGACCACUUCAGCUCAAUGAAGUGGUCUGGGUGCCAGGUCCCUCUAGGGUUAACCCUGCCUGCUGUAGAAACUGCUAUGUUUACAUUAGGGUUAAUCCAGCCUCUAGUGUCUGUCUCAUAGACAGCCGCUUGAGGCGCUUCUCACUGAAAAUCACAGUGUGAAGACACCAGCGUCCAUAGGAAAGCAUUGAGAAUGCUUUCCUAUGGACUGGCUGAAUGCGCGCGGCUCUUGCCGCACAUACGCAGCCGAUGAUGUCCGAAGGAGGAGGAGAGUCCCCAGCGCCGAGGG